AGUUUCUCGUGGUUUAAGAGCACUUAUUAUUUCUUGUUUUAAACUAAUAAGUAAUAUCAACAAUUCUAACUUUAGUAUUAACACUGCUUGAGAACAUUUAGCCCCCAGGCAAUUUCAUAUCCUUAUUCUAACCACUUAGAAAUUUCAGUAGAUAGAUGCUGGUUGCACUUCUGUGCAUCACAUGAUUUUCACUUGUAUAAAAGCCAAAAACACAUUUGUGUUCCUCUCUUCCUUGUGUUUUCGCCAAUGAAACUAUGUGAAUGCAAUUUCUGGCAGCCUUAUGCAACUUCAUUGCAAAAUCAGCAAUUAUCUCAACCUAUGAUCACCAUCUCAGGCAGUUUUUUUGGUUUCCUUCCCUGCAUCUGAUACCAGUUAUCAUAGAAAUGGGAGAGGAUAUUUUCAGGAAACGGGAUUUCUACUCUGCUUGAUAAUGGAACAUGCCACAGCUAUCUGCCAAAGUAAAUAAUUAAUCUUGGUUCUCUCACACGAAGAUAUCAGCGUUAAUCAUUGACUUUCUGGGUGGA